rnacentral:rRNA from 1 species
UACGGAGGGUGCGAGCGUUGUCCGGAAUCACUGGGCGUAAAGGGCGCGUAGGCGGCCUGAUAAGUAGGGGGUGAAAUCCUGCGGCUUAACCGCAGGGCUACCUUCUAAACUGUCAGGCUUGAGCACAGUAGAGGCAGGUGGAAUUCCCGGUGUAGCGGUGGAAUGCGUAGAGAUCGGGAAGAACAUCAGUGGCGAAGGCGGCCUGCUGGGCUGUUGCUGACGCUGAGGCGCGACAGCGUGGGGAGCAAACAGG